GUCGGUUGUGUGGAAUGGAAACAUAGCUAUUACUGCUCAGAUGAGGCCUUUUUAAACAUGCUUCUUGUCAUUAUUUUCUAUGGAGAAGUUUUCUCAGGGGAUCAGCUCUUUUCCUCUGUCAAAGCCAGACACCCUGUUUUUUUUCUUCUAUGAAUGUGUCUCGAGUAAGAGUUCCUCUUUUUCUAUGCAGCGAUGUAAAGAUCGUCCUCAAUGAAAAGGAGCAUCCAGAAUUUAAUGCAGUUUACCAUCAGGCUCCUCACCACCUAAACGGAGUACUGCUAUUGCCAUGUUUGGUUGUCCAGAAGAUUACAAGAGAUACAGCUCUAACCAACUGGAUGUUAUCGCUUUCACGUCAUUACUGGCAAGAUGGCACCUUCUCCUUCACUGGAAAUCGACAGACUCCGUCUAGUACUCAACGGCUCAGGAGGUUAUGUCAUCCGUUAGUGCUCAUUCUAAAAAACUUAGUCUUGUAAUGUUGGAAUGUGACAGAUUAAUGUGGGAUUGUUACAGAUUCUAAAAUAUUGUAAAUACAUAGUUUAAAGGGUCAUACAAUAAGAAAAUAAAGAAAUCCAGCUGUUGCUUGUU